rnacentral:rRNA from 1 species
AUUGAACGCUGGCGGCAUGCCUUACACAUGCAAGUCGAACGGCAGCACGGGUGCUUGCACCUGGUGGCGAGUGGCGAACGGGUGAGUAAUACAUCGGAACAUGUCCUGUAGUGGGGGAUAGCCCGGCGAAAGCCGGAUUAAUACCGCAUACGAUCUACGGAUGAAAGCGUGGGACCUUCGUGCCUCGCGCUAUAGGGUUGGCCGAUGGCUGAUUAGCUAGUUGGUGGGGUAAAGGCCUACCAAGGCGACGAUCAGUAGCUGGUCUGAGAGGACGACCAGCCACACUGGGACUGAGACACGGCCCAGACUCCUACGGGAGGCAGCAGUGGGGAAUUUUGGACAAUGGGCGAAAGCCUGAUCCAGCAAUGCCGCGUGUGUGAAGAAGGCCUUCGGGUUGUAAAGCACUUUUGUCCGGAAAGAAAUCCUUGGCCCUAAUACGGUCGGGGGAUGACGGUACCGGAAGAAUAAGCACCGGCUAACUACGUG